rnacentral:rRNA from 1 species
GAUGAACGCUGACAGAAUGCUUAACACAUGUAAGUCGAUGGGGAAGUGGUGCUUGCACCAUGGCAACCAUGGCGGACGGGUGAGUAACGCGUAAGGGACUUACCUGCAGGACUGGGAUAACAGGGGGAAACUCCUGACAAGACCGGAUAAUGUCAUGGAGCUGCAUGGCUUUAUGAUGAAAGGAGACGCCUGCGGAGAGCCUUGCGUCCUAUUAGCUAGUUGGUGAGGUAAUGGCUCACCAAGGCGAAGAUAGGUAGCCGGCCUGAGAGGGUGGACGGCCACAAGGGGACUGAGAUACGGCCCUUACUCCUACGGGAGGCAGCAGUGGGGAAUAUUGGACAAUGGGGGCAACCCUGAUCCAGCAAUUCUGUGUGCACGAAGAAGGUUUUCGGAUUGUAAAGUGCUUUCAGCAGGGAAGAAGUAAGUGACGGUACCUGCAGAAGAAGCGACGGCUAAAUACGUG